rnacentral:rRNA from 1 species
GACGAACGCUGGCGGCGUGCUUAACACAUGCAAGUCACGGGGGUCCCGCAAGGGAUAACCGGCGAACGGGUGCGUAACACGUGAACAACCUGCCCUCGUGUGGGGGAUAGCCGGGCUAACGCCCGGGUAAUACCGCAUACGGUCCUUUGGGGGAGUCCCUGAGGGAAGAAAGCUCCGGCGCACGGGGAGGGGUUCGUGGUCUAUCAGCUAGUUGGCGGGGUAAUGGCCCACCAAGGCGACGACGGGUAGCUGGUCUGAGAGGAUGGCCAGCCACAUUGGGACUGAGAGACGGCCCAGACUCCUACGGGAGGCAGCAGUGGGGAAUCUUGCGCAAUGGCCGAAAGGGCUGACGCAGCGACGCCGCGUGUGGGAGGACGCCUUUUCGGGGGUGUAAACCAC